GAUGGUUCUCAGGUGAUGCACCCCCGAAUCGGGCUCCCUCCUCUCUGGUUCCAGAUGUGUCACCUGAGAACCACA
rfam:Myotis lucifugus cont2.12351, whole genome shotgun sequence.